UGGGGAAUCUUGCGCAAUGGGCGAAAGCCUGACGCAGCAACGCCGCGUGGAGGAAGAAGGCCUUCGGGUUGUAAACUCCUGUCAGGGGGAAAGAAGGCACCUGGGUUAAUAGCCCAAGGGCUGACGGUACCCCCAGAGGAAGCCACGGCUAACUACGUGCCAGCAGCCGCGGUAAUACGUAGGUGGCGAGCGUUGUCCGGAAUUAUUGGGCGUAAAGAGCGCGUAGGCGGCUUGUCAGGUCCGACGUGAAAUCCCGGGGCUCAACCCCGGACGUGCAUCGGAAACCGGCUUGCUAGAGUCUGGGAGAGGGAAGUGGAAUUCCUGGUGUAGCGGUGAAAUGCGCAGAUAUCAGGAGGAACACCGGUAGCGAAGGCUGCUUCCUGGAACAGUACUGACGCUGAGGCGCGAAAGCUAGGGGAGCAAACAG
rnacentral:rRNA from 1 species